UACGUAGGGUGCGAGCGUUGUCCGGAAUUAUUGGGCGUAAAGAGCUUGUAGGCGGUUUGUUGCGUCUGCUGUGAAAAUCCGGGGCUCAACUCCGGACUUGCAGUGGGUACGGGCAGGCUAGAGUGUGGUAGGGGAGACUGGAAUUCCUGGUGUAGCGGUGGAAUGCGCAGAUAUCAGGAGGAACACCGAUGGCGAAGGCAGGUCUCUGGGCUGACACUGACGCUGAAGCGCGAAAGCUAGGGGAGCGAACGGG
rnacentral:rRNA from 1 species